UACGUAGGCAGCGAGCGUUGUUCGGAAUCACUGGGCGUAAAGGGAGCGUAGGCGGCGUGGUAAGUCAGAUGUGAAAUCCCGGGGCUCAACCCCGGAACUGCAUCCGAUACUGCCGUGCUUGAGGGUUGGAGAGGUAGCUGGAAUUAUCGGUGUAGCAGUGAAAUGCGUGGAUAUCGAUAGGAACACUCGUGGCGAAGGCGAGCUACUGGACAACAUCUGACGCUGAGGCUCGAAGGCUAGGGGAGCAAAAGGG
rnacentral:rRNA from 1 species